CCCUUAGAUGUUCUGGGCUGCACGCGCGCUACACUGAUGCGCUCAACGAGUUUACGACCUUGCCUGGAAAGGUUGGGUAAUCUUCUUAAAACGCAUCGUGAUGGGGAUAGAUUAUUGCAAUUAUUAAUCUUCAACGAGGAAUUCCUAGUAAGCGCGAGUCAUCAGCUCGUGCUGAUUACGUCCCUGCCCUUUGUACACACCGCCCGUCGCUCCUACCGAUCGAAGAGUUAGGUGAAUUGUUUUGAUCGAUAAGAUUUGACUAUGGUCAACUCUCGUUGUGAAAUUCUGUGAAUCUGACUGUUUAGAGGAAGGAAAAGUCGUAACA
rnacentral:rRNA from 1 species